AGGACGAACGCUGGCGGCGUGCUUAACACAUGCAAGUCGAGCGGAAAGGCCCUUCGGGGUACUCGAGCGGCGAACGGGUGAGUAACACGUGAGCAAUCUGCCCUUAGCUUCGGGAUAGCUCCGGGAAACCGGAAUUAAUACCGAAUAUGACUUCGGCCGACAUCGGCCUUGGUGGAAAGUUUUUCGGCUAGGGAUGAACUCGCGGCCUAUCAGCUUGUUGGUGGGGUAAUGGCCUACCAAGGCGACGACGGGUAGCCGGCCUGAGAGGGCGACCGGCCACACUGGGACUGAGACACGGCCCCAGACUCCUACGGGAGGCAGCAGUGGGGAAUAUUGCGCAAUGGGCGAAAGCCUGACGCAGCGACGCCGCGUGGGGGAUGAAGGCCUUCGGGUUGUAACCCCUUUCAGCAGGGACGAAGCGAAGUGACGGUACCUGCAGAAGAAGCGCCGGCUAACUACGUGCCAGCAGCCGC
rnacentral:rRNA from 1 species